AGUGGUUCUCCGGCUCUUGCCGCUGCGGUGGCUUUGGGUCCCUCUUCGUCUGGCUUUCGCAGCCGAGGAGACUCUCUGGAAAAUGGGCUACUCGAAGAGAGAUGCUCCGUUGCCUCAGGCGGAGGGCGGGGACGCCGGGCCUGCGACACUUCAUCUUUUCCUGGCCCCGAGGUGGCUGGGAUCCGUUCCACCUUCGGCCCAGUUCCCCAGCCAGGCCCCUGAGCCGUUUAGCCCGGAUUUGCGACCCGUGAGGUUUUGAGGACAAGUGAAAAGAGCUCUUUGUGUGGAUUUUGCUGCAAUGUUUCUCUCCUACCCAGUAGGAAUGAGGCCUUAGCUUGCGCGGAAAAACCCAGGCCUGGUUUGAGAACGUGUGAAAAUGCACCGCCUUCUAAGUGGCUUUAUUAUACGUGGAUGUUUAAGUUACUUAAACUACAAGCUCCCUCUCCAAAAGGAUUCUUUUUUUUUUUUUCUUUUUUUUUGAGACGGAGUCUCGCUAUGUUGCCCAGCCUGGAGUGCAGUGGCGCGAUCUUGCUCACUGCAAGCUCUGCCUCCCGGGUUCACGCCAUUGUCCUGCCUCAGCCUUCCAAGUAGCUGGGACUACAGGCGUCCGCCAACACGCCUGGCUAAUUUUUUGUAUUUUUAGUAGAGACGUAGUUUCACCGUGUUAGGAUGGUCUCGAUCUCCUGACCUCGUGAUCCGCCCGCCUCGGCCUCCCAAAGUGCUAGGAUUACAGGCGUGAGCCACCGCGCCCGGCCAGAAUUGUUUGUUUGUUUGUUUGAGACGAAGGAGUCUCGCGCUCCGUGGCCCCGGCUGAAGUGCAGUGGCGCGAUCUCUGCUCACUGUAACCUCCAUCUCCCGGGUUCAAGUGAUCCUGGCGCGUCAGCCUCCCGAGUAGCUGGAAUUACAGACGCCCGUCACUACGCCCGGCUAAUUUUUGUAUUUUAAUAGAGACGGGGUUUCGCUAUUUUGGCCAGGGUGGUCUGGACCUCCUGACCUCAAGAUAUCCGCCCGCCUUAGCCUGCCAAAGUGCUGGGAUUACAGGCGUGAGCUACCGCGCCCGGCCAAAAGGAUAGUUCUUGACACGACCUUUCUUCCAUUAGAGGUCAAGCUAAGAAAAUAUGUAAACCCUCUCACAAGCAGUAGAAUUCCUAGGCAGUUUAGGAACUGUGUUGAGGCACUUGUACAUCUUUUCUAUCCAGGAUUUCAAAUGCAGUAACAAGUGCUUUGAUCUUUUUUUUUUUUUUUUUUUUUUUUUUUUCUUUUUUUCUUGAGACACAGCCUGGCUCUGUUGCCCAGGCUGUAGUGCAGUAGCCACCGCGCCCGGCCGAUUUUUCAUCGUUUGAUACAAACAGAAUCAUGCCAAAUGUCCGGAUCAGAUGUUUGUUUCAGGUGAAUUAACUAUAGUUUUAACUUCCAACCUUUUAUCUUUUUUACAGGUUUUAACUUCCAAUCUCAUGGUCAUUUGUAUUCGGCCAUUGAAUUUAAAUUUAUUUUUAAAAUGUUCCUUAAGUAACCACCAGGUUCUUAAAUGUUCAAGGAAGUCAUAAAUGUGAGAGAACAUAGCUGCAGACCACAUACUGCCCCUAAGAGAGCUGGGCAAGGGCAGGAGCAUUGUGAAUUUCAUGGAAGGGUGUCAAUUUGCUGUGGGUCUUUCGGGGAAAGGGGAGUGAAGUAUCUGAAUCAGGGAGAAGCACUUGAAAAAAAGUCUUUGCAAGGGAAGCUGACUGUUCAAUAAAGUGCCACUUUGGAGAAUGUUGGGGUAAAGAAGUUGUAAAGGCAGGAUACAGCCAGUUGACAGAGACGCUAUUUGGAGAGAUUUUAAAGCUAUGGAGUCUGAGGAGCAGGUUCUUCUCCACGCCCCUAAAAAAAAAAAAAUACAAAUGGGGAGGCAGGGAAGAUCCCUUGAGCCCAGGAAAUAGAGGCUGCAGUGAGCUAUGAUUGCACCUAUGCACUUAAGCUUGGGUGACAGAGCAAAAAACCUGUCUCAAAAAAAAAAAAAAAAAAAAAAGUCAAAAAGAUCGAAGCAAUCAGCAGCCACAUAAUUAGUGAAUAUGUUGAGCACUGGGUAUGUGAUCUUGCUAGACCCACAGUAAUAGCCACUUCCAAAAGAGAGGGUAUUUUAUUAGGGUUUAAAACUGACAUUUCUACUUUUGGGAAAUCAGCUUUUGCUGCAGAAUAUGCUUCUUGUUUUCACCCAAGUUUUCCAUGCACAACUUAAGACUUGUUAACACCAGCUUGUGAAAUGAAGGUAGGUGAAAAAAACAGAAGCAACUGAAACAGCAGUUUCUCCACUUAGUAUUUUUUGUUACUUAACAAUGUAUUCCCAUACCUAUUUCUAAAUGCACAGCCCUGCUAUAUGGUCUCUCACUAAAUUUCCGAUUGGUCUAAUUAUUAAAAAACACCCACCCUUAACAUAGCUUUCUUUAGAGCUUUGUUUUUGUCCUACAGAGACAGGAUGUGAUCUUUUGAAAUGUGCCAGAUGACUAAGCAGUUAACACAAAUCUUACUAACUUCAUUUAGCAGCAACAAAUGCAAUCUCCAAGAUAUAAAGCCAAGCUGGACAUUUUCUAUUUUUUUUCAGAGGUUUCACACUCCAAGGAAUGCACCUAUCUGUCAAUAAUGAUCUACGGGAAUUUUGUUUUUAAAUACUGCCAAAAUUAAGCUUUAUAAAUUGGGCCUUAACACAAAGAAUUUUAUCGUUGAAGUAGAAUUUCUACUGCUAUUCAAAAAUACAACAGAUGUUUGAGAAUAAAAUAGUUACUUUUCUGAGAAUUUAGGGGUCUUUUUUGAGGUAUUAGUGCUAUUCAGAAAAAAAAGACUAGGCUUGGCUCGGCUUAGUGGCUCAGGCUUGUAAUCCCAGCACUUUGGGAGGCUGAAGUGGGAGUGUAACUUGAGCCCAGGAGUUCGAGAUCAGCCUGGGCAACAUAGGGAGACCCUGUCGUUUUGUUUUUUCAAGCUACCCAGGUUCCAAAAGGUUUCAAGUUUUCCAAAAUCUAUUUUGACCAAUAAAUUCAGAACUUAAAUGCUGUAUCUUUUGAGACUGAACCUUUAUUUUC
rnacentral:lncRNA from 1 species